GAUCCUGGCUCAGGAUGAACGCUAGCUACAGGCUUAACACAUGCAAGUCGGAGGGGCGAGCAUGGACCCAGCUUUGCCGGGUUUGAUGGCGACCGGCGCACGGGUGAGUAACGCGUAUCCAACCUGCCCUUUACUCCGGGAUAGUCUCCUGAAAGGGAGUUUAAUACCGGACAUGUUUGUCUUUCCGCAUGGGAGCGACAAAUAAAGAUUAAUUGGUAAAGGAUGGGAUGCGUCCCAUUAGCUUGUUGGCGGGGUAACCGG
rnacentral:rRNA from 1 species